UCACCUCUUCUUUUAUUUCCCCUUCACCCCUUUCAUCGGUUACGUGAAUUCUGCACUCAAAUAUGCCUACUUCGUUCAACGGAAUUUUAGGGUUUCAAUGAUCAGCAUUGCCAUUUUUCUCCUCAUUUAUCCGUUCUUUUGCAUUUUCAAACUGAAUUUCCCGAAUUUGCUCUACAUUUCGCUCAAUUCUCAUCGUCUACCCACCGAAUCCGCUCUCUCGAAAUUCUAACUGAUCGCCCAAGGUGAACUCUGGUAAUGUCGUUAUGCUAUCCAUUUCUUCAAUUAAUUUUAUUUUUUUAACUUUUUAAAUGAUUUUAAUUUUCUGAAAAGAAAAUUUUAUUUUUGAAUUUUAUUAUAAGCGAUUCAUCGAUGUAUAACUCAUCAAUUGUUUCGUCAAUUUCACAAUUUAUGUGUGACUUUAGUAGUGGCAUUGUGCCAAAUGUGCAGUUCAUGAUCAAUGUACUUGACAUACCAAUUUUUCUGGGAACACUCACUGAUUUUUAUUUAGUUUUUUCAUUCACGUAUUGCUACAUAUCAAGACAUGCAUUAUGGAUUUCCUUUAUAAAAUAUCACAUUUUUUGUUGGAUAAGUGAAACUUUUCAUCAUUGAUAUUCUUUUUUGCUGAGAACGGAUACUUGUGGUAUUUUAUUCGACAAAAUGUUGGGAAUUUAAUAUGGAUGUAUUGUUCAUACAGGAUUAGAUAAAUAGAAAUAAUCACAUCCGCAAGAAGGUUCAAGUAGCACACAUCACGGGUAAAGUACGAUAAGGUUCACUUGACAUGGUUUGGUCAUGUCCUGCGUCGACCUCCAGAUACACCGGUUUAUCGGUGUGAAACAAUGAUGAGUGAAGGUGUUAAAAGAAGAUGACGUAGAC
rnacentral:lncRNA from 1 species